rnacentral:rRNA from 1 species
CUCGUAGGCGGCCAACUAAGUCAGACGUGAAAUCCCUCGGCUUAACCGGGGAACUGCGUCUGAUACUGGAUGGCUUGAAUCCGGGAGAGGGAUGCGGAAUUCCAGGUGUAGCGGUGAAAUGCGUAGAUAUCUGGAGGAACACCGGUGGCGAAGGCGGCAUCCUGGACCGGCAUUGACGCUGAGGAGCGAAAGCCAGGGAGCAAACG